rnacentral:ncRNA from 1 species
UUAUCGUCUUAUGGUCGAGGUUCUUCGGGAUAGCACCCGAAGCUAAGAGGGAAUCCGGUGCGUUAUCCAACAAAUCCGGAGCUGCCCCCGCAACUGUAGGCGAAGAGUAGGCCGUCACUACGUGUCACUGGGAUUAUCACAUCCCGGGAAGGCCAGACGGCCACAAGGACUCGCAAGCCAGGAGACCUGCCCCGACUUAUAACGUCCU